GUAAGGAUAUUAUCCUCAAUGGCCUAUUUAUGUAUUAAUGUGCUUGUUUGCCCCUCACGUCAUCAACGGUUACGGUGGCUUCCUACACUUUCAUCAUUACUGAAUGACAGUAACUGCUGUGUCAGUUUCCUUCAUGGGCCGCAAUCAGCAUCCGUCAUAGCAACCGGCCUCACAACUGUGACGUCUCUACCUGAGCCCUCUGUUGGCUGACGUCAGAGGCAAAAACAUGAGCCACAUAAGUGCUGCGGUGAAUUACAUGGGACCAGGAGGAAGCCCUCUAUGGAGUAUACGUCAUUAGCCAUGCUUCGCCUACGCCAGGGUGUGGAACAUUCCUGCAUUAUAUUCUCAGAAACAUCAGGCACCAUCGAAGUUGUACCCUCCUCCAAUUCCUAUUCUUCCCUCGGAGUGAGAGGUCAACCUGCAUGCAAGGACAACAACGGCUGACUUCAGUUCUCUGUGGGUGAGUGUACGACAAAUCAUAUUUCUUAAAGCGGAAGAUACCGUCACUGGCAAUAGGCUUACCUGUUUAGUAACGCACAAACAAUGAUUUAUCCAAUUAUAAUAAUUUAACUGAAUAGACGUUC